rnacentral:lncRNA from 1 species
CUCACCGACACUUUUGGAACGAUACUGAGUGAAGUUACAAGGUCCAACAUGCACACAUUCACACCACGAGCCUCUGAUUCAUCACACUGAGCUUUGAACAGGCUUGUGUUAUGUGAGAAUACACAGAUUCGGUUCUUACUGAUGGCACAAAGAAAGAGUGAGGAUGUACUUUGUCCUUCAAAGAUUGCCUCAGGCAACAUAUUUAAUGGUGCUCUCCAGAGAGCCUGGCAGACACGAGCAGGCAAACAGCAAACGAAAAGAUCUUCUGCUCUAUGGAAAACACGAGAGCUUGGCUGAAAGCAAGAACGGGACUUCAUGCAGUCAGCAUCGAAUCAAGCAAGGGAGAAAGCUCAGCUGGAGAAACAGCUUUGCAGGCUGCAACACCCAGAGGCAGAGAACCUAGGCUCCAUUCUCACCUUCUGGUCCCACCAGGUCCCAAACCAAUGCUGAUCUUCUCCUGUGAAAGCCAUCAUUUUGACCUCUGGAUUACAUGGACACAGAAUCAGGAACCAUGAAGAAAAAUUGCUGUGGACUUCAUAAGGCAUAAAUGUGAGGCAUUUCUUCUUUCACCAUUCACUACUCCAUUGAAGGAGUCUCUGAACUUCAAAACAGGAAUCUUCUCACCUCUAACUCCCUUCCCCAUUUUGCUGUAGUAAUCAACUAUUGUUUACUCAGUGUUGCCUACAAACACAGUCACUUGAACAAAAAACUCACCAGUUUAUGCUCUAGUUCUCUGGAUUGCACAGCACUCCUGCUAUUAUCAAGUUCUGCACAAAUCCCUAACAGAGACAAAAAGAUUGAUGCUAAGAAAAGCUGUUUUCUAGCUGCGGAAUAUCAUCUACAUAUUAUUUUCUCCCCAGCACCAUCUCUGCCCCACAACACAACACAACCCAAAAGUUUCAGGUCUUCCUUGGACUACACACCCCACUUGCAAAAUAAAUAAAUAAAUAAAUAAAUAAUGAAAAAUUAA